GUAUAUAUUAUAUUUUUUUUGGUUGGGUUUGUUUUUAAUUCAGUCAUACAAAAUGGUGGCAAGCCCCAGUCCCAAAGGGUGUCCUAUCUCGGUGCACGAAAAUGAGAUGGAAGGGAAGGGGCGGGCAUGUCUUUGUGUGUUCGGGGCCUCGAGGAGACAGUGUUGAGGUGCCCUGGGAGAGGUCUCUGUUCCCUCUCCCAAGCGCCAUGGCUGUCCUGGGGCUGAUCAGUGGUUGUGAGAUGUACAGGGAAGACCUACUCUUUCCAGGAAAUCUGGCUUCAUGAAGCGCGGUGACCCUGGGGGAAUUUUGGCCAAAGGAAACAGCCGGGCUGGGGUGGGAGGCCUGGGCCAAAGUCUGGCCUAUUCCCCUCUCCUCAUAUGGUGCUAGGUGGGGAGCUGCCCUGGGAGCUGGGAGAUCCUUGGGGACCCACGGAACUGUCUUCAGCCCCCCGAAGACAGUGGGGCCUUUGGGCUAUUUUCUGGUUGGGGUCUGCUCCUACCCCCCUUCUUUUAACAAUGUGAAGAGACUAAGCUGGGGUGCUCUCCCCAGCCCCUCCCACUGCCAGUUCAGCUUCGAACUGACACCCAGGAAGUCCUUUCUGGAGAGCCUUGUCUUGUUCAGAAGACUCUAGCAUCUUGGGGCUGGAAGGGUCCUUCAACGGGUAUGGAAACAGGUCCAGAAAUGGGAGGUGGCCUCCUUGGCCCAUGUCACAGAGCUGGUUGGGAGCGGGGCUGAGAAUGAACUUGCAGCUCCUGAUCCUGAGUCCAGUGCUCUUUUUCCAAUGCCACACUGCCUCUGAGCCCAUCCUUGGGACCCUAUUCUGUGCCAGGUUCCUGUCCCUCCCUCAGUCACACUCUUGGUCACUCCGGGACAUGGGGACAAACCACUCCUUCCCAGCCAGGGUGCCUUCGAGCCUUUUCAGUUCCAGAUCUGCAUUUGUAUGCCUGUCUUGCUCUCCCUACCUGGGAAGGAUCUUCCCAGCCAGCGGGGCCUGUGUCUGUCUCAGCUCUGAACCAAUUCUCUUUUCUUAAGUUCUCCACUGGGGUGGAUGAGACGGUUAUUCAACGAGAAGGUUACUCAGCAGGACCAGCUACGGUUUCAUUGUCUACCCAGGGAAGCGUUCCCAUCAUGCUUCUCAUUGGGGCCUUUAAGCCUGGGAGGCCUAGGUGUCGUCGACUCCACAAGGGGUGCAGAGUGCGGGUACAGCAGCAUCAGCUUCUUCAAUGUUCCCCAAUAUACUUAGCACUUCCCCCCACCCCCCAAAUAAGAAAGAGUGAGAGAUAGCGUAAAUCAUGUAGAUCAGGGGUCCUCAGCCUCUGGGCCGUGGACCGGUACGGGUCCAUGGCCUGUUAGGAACUGGGCUGCACAGCCAGAGGUGAGCGGCGGGAGAGCGAGCAAAGCUCCAUUCGCAGCUGCUCCCCAGCACUAGCAUCACUGCCUCAGCUCCACCUCAGCUCAUCGGAAAUUAGAUGCUCAUAUACCGAUCCCUAGUGCCAAAAAGGUUGGGGACCGCUGAAAUGACUCCACCAUCCAUCCUGGUGUCCCCUCCGUGAGCCUUUGCUCCACAGGUAGGAGGUCGGCUGAAGUCACUUGAGGUUCUAGAGCCACCCAUAAUGCAGGUACCUUGCGCUGGGUAGAUGAGUCUGAAGUUUAAAGAUGGGCCUUUCCUGAGCCCUUAAGUAGGAGCAGGCAGAGCCUCUGGGGCCUAGCUGAGGGAGCUGUCUGUCCCUAGCCACAGAAAACUGCCGGGCUGACCCACAGAGAGUGGUGGUCCCUACGUGGAGCUGAUUCCGUGGGUUUGUUAGUGGAAAGAGCAAGUAAAAAUAUGUUUAACCAAAUGUUUUAUUAUUAAUGCCAUUACCCACCAUCUAGAUUUAAAAUUAACAUUUUUCCACAUUUUUUUCUCUCUCUACACUGAUAUUUUUUCUGAACUAGCUUAAAAGUAAAAAUCAUGAGAUUUCACCCCAAAAUGCUGCAACCUGCAUCUAAUAAGAGUUAGGAUGGUCUCCUAUGCAGUGGCCCAGUAUCACACCUGAGACAACCGUAAUGUUCUAACAUCUGUUCUCCAAUCUGUAUUUUGAUCUCCCCCAAAUAACUUGUACCUGGUUUUGGAAUUUGGAUUCAAUCAAGGCACACACAUUGCAUUUUGUAACUGUUUUAAAGCUCUCUAAAUGCUGAAAAGUCCUCCCUUUGCUCACUUUAAUUUUUGAGAUGACAUUACUUCUGGGACCAGCAGGCCUGCUGUCUUGAAGAAGUCAUUGCAUAUUCUGGAUUUGUCUGAUUGUUUCCUCCCAGUGUCAUAGAAGAAGUUCCUCUAUCCUCUGUAUUGUCAAGAAUAACUUAGGCUGUACGGAUUUUUGCCUUUCGUGCUGAUCUGACAACUUCCCUCCAGCCUAAGGUGCCCCUCUACUGUAACCUGUACCAAGUGCCAAACCAGCAGAGGGAUAGCUGGAGCUCCAGGAGCUCAGGAGCAGGCUGAGGGGGGCAGCCCUCAGAUGGGCCUGGGAGGAAGGGCGAGGAAGGGGAGGCUGCACACUUGGAGGCUGGACCAAGCGGUGUUGGCCUGUUGGAAAUGAGACCUCUCUGGUUCAGAAAAGCCUCUGCCGCCCCCUUGAUCCUGGCGGUGGACCGCAGGGCACCCAACAGCAUCUCCCUCUCUGCCUCUGUCUUUCUUUCUCUGUGUCGUGGUCUCUGGUCCUUCACAUCCUGGAGGCCUGUGUUCUGUGCACUGGAGCAGAGCUAGGCCGCUGGAAUGCACUAGGGAAGGGCCUGGCCGGGGAACUGCCUCCCCCGUGUUGUGGCAUAAGAGGAAGAGCACUGGGCUGGAGGCAGGACAUGGAAAAUUUUGUCUCAACUGGGUAUAUUUAUUAGCUGCGUGACAGUUUUCCUCCCAGGGCCUCAGUUUCCCCAUUUAUAGAAUGAGCAAGUGGGGCUACAGCAGAGGCUUUUAAACGUAAAAGAGAAAAAGAAGUAGGUCUGCUCUAGUCGAAGUGCGAAUGGAGGGCCCAGGCGUGCCCCCAGCCCUUCGUUCCUGGUUUGCCAUCCCUGGGUUGGCCGCCCCCUGGGGCUUGCUCUCGCCAGCUCUGAUGGCUGGAGGUUUUUUUUUUUUUUAUAGCUCCCAUAAGGAACUGGCCUGGGUUUUGUAUGGGGUCAAUGUCAAGGGCCUGGGGGAGACUCUGGCUGUGUUUUCUCCUAAUAAGUUCAUCCCUCCCUCUCCUUCCUCUCUGUGGCCCUUGAGGAGAAUGAGGGAGGAGAGGGUUUUCUAUGACUGUGCUAGCUUUUAUUAUCAGCAAGAGGGCUCCUUUUGUAAUUCGUGCAUGAAAUUCAUGUCUUUUCCUGGGGAGAGGAGAGGGCUGACUGGAGAGGGUGGGGGGUGUAUUGGGGGAGCAGGCAGAGGUUUCCUUCCCUGUGGGGUGGGGAGAGGUGUGGAAAGGGGGCACUACCUAGCUCACCUGAUCAGGGCUCUCAAACCAGCCGUUUUGGGUUGUGUUAAAAGUGGGAACCUUCCUCUAUUAAUGUACAAUCUCGAACUAACUGCUAAUAAAGUGGGGUUCUGUUUGUACACAUUGGUCAUGUCUGUCUGUCUGACCUUGUAGCGAGGCCUGCCGGGGAGGGUGGAGACGUGGACGUUUGCAUGCACAGCCACUCUGGCCGCUCCACAGACAGGUGGGGUGUCCCAGAUGACGAGGAACCUCCAGACCUGCUAGAUCGCUGAGAAGUGCUGGGGACUGAGCACUGCAUGAAGAAGAGGCUCGGAGUGUAGAACCAGUUCUGCCGCAUGUGUAUCUCGUGCCUGGAGACAAGCCGCUUUUACUUUUUGAUGCUGUUUCCCUCAUUUUUCAGGGGUAUGGAGGUGAAUUAGACUCAGUGGCUAUUCUUGGAGAAUUUGCUUGAAAUAUCAGAUUCCCGGGCCACAUUUCAGAGAUUCCUCUCUGGAAGAUGUGGGGUUGGGUUCAAGCACCUGCAUUUUAACAACCUCUCUGGCACACUGAGGCACCCCACUUUGGGAAACCCUGGCUCAGAUCAAUGGUUCCUACAGGCUCUAAUUAAUUCAGAGUCUCUCUGUCCAAGGAACAAAAACUUCGGCAAACAAAUCAAUUUCUAGCCCUCGUAGCCUGAUUGAAAUUUUCCAAGGAGGGGCCCCGCCAGCUGUUGCAAUGCCGAUGUCCAGACCUACUCCCUCGGAACCCCCUGCAAAGCUUUACAAAAUGCACAUCCCCCGGCUCCCCCAAAUCCACUCAAUCAUAGCCUCAGGGAGUAAGACCCAGCCACGUGCAUUUUAACACAGUCUCUGAUGCACGCAAAGGUCUGGAACACUAAGCCAGGGCCCCUGAGUGUAAGCCAGAGGAAGUCACAGCAACGGGGACCCAGCUGGGAGCACCAAAAUGCCAGCCUCCACAGAGACCACUUUGGGGUUUGUCAUCUGGGAGGUCAGUUCGAGUCAUGUGCCAUCACCAGCAAGAACGUGGCCGGAGGCUGCGUGAACGGGAACAGACACAGAAGGUGUGAUACAGAAGGGUUUCCUUGCCAGGUAAGGGGUUGGGAUACAUCAGAAAUCUUUGAAUUUUAAAACAGCCAAGAUUCUUUUUAAAAAGAGAAACUUACUUGGAAGCCAGGUAAAGGCAGUGUGGUGUGGUUGGAGUGGGGGUGAGGAUCUGGACUCUCACCAGCCCAACUCUUCCUCCCUGUCCCCCAUCAUAUCUGGAGCCCUAAGAUUCCUUGAAACACAUUGUGAAAACCCAGCCCGGCUGCUCUCAGAGAUCCCAAGAGUCCUGCAAUUCAAACAAGUUGAGGGAACAAAGACACAUGAGACCCUCCUCAUCCCUUAGAGUGAGGGGCCACUCAGGAACCUGGUAUCCUAGGGGCAGUCCAGACUCCGGAGCUGGGCAUUUUCCUCGGAGAAGCCCUUGGGACAUGUACAUAGGGCAGUGUGUUUCAUCAUAGCGAAGCACUGGACACAACCUGGAUGCCCAGUCAUGGGGCAUCAGCUAAAUAGCCUCUAGUGUAGCCACAUGCUGGAACAUGAUGAUGCAAUUGAGAACACUUAGCCCUGUAAGACUGGCCUAUACAGUGUGACCACUUGUGGAAAGGGAAUGCUCCGUAGUGUGUAUUUUUUUCUGGGAAUAUAGAUAUAGAGCUUUCACACCACACUGAUAACGGGAGCGGGAGGGGACGGGAACGAGGAGUUUUCCAAGGGGAUUUUAGCUUUGGCUGAAACAUUUAAAAAAAAAUUAAGAUAAUGUAUUCAUGUAUCAUUUGUGGGAUGAAAAAAUCUUAAUAAAAACAAUAUGACUAGAAAUGGAUGAAGCAGGAAGGAGGGGCCUCCAGGCAGCCGGGCUAUCGUUGGAGGACAUCAUGAAGGCGACGCUGCUGUCCACCCACCCUCAGGAGGCCAGGCCAAUGGGGAGAAGUUCUUGCCUUGCUAACGUUACUCGGAGCACUUGUCAGGACCUGAGGAUCCUGACUUGCUGUGUGGCUAUCGACGAGUCUCAGAGCCCAGCUCUCACACGCUCACAAGUGGUGGACUUAGAGUUAACCUCAUCAAUAUGGUGACAAACUAACAUCAUGUGAAAAGGACACAGCCUGACGCCUGUGACAGUCCUCACAAAAAGAGGUAAUGUGAAUCUAGCCAAGAGGAAACAGCAGACACAUUCACGUUGAGGUAGAUUUUGCAAAAUAACUGGCCUGAACUCUCAAAAUGUCAAGGUCAUGAAAGAUAAACAAAGGCUGAAAGACAGUUCAAGAUUAAAGGAUACUAAAGGGACCUGGCGAUAGAAUGUCACAUGUGACCCUAGACCUAGACCAGGAAACAGUUAUAAAGGACACCAUAGAGGCAAUUGGCAAAAUGUGAAUGUGGACUGUGUGGGUUGGAUAAUAGUAUCGUAUCAUUAUUAAAUUUCCUGAUGUCGAUUAUUGUACUGUUACGUCAGAGUAUAUCAUUGUUCCUAAGAAGUACACGCUGAAAUAUUUACAGGUAAAAGGGAAGAAAUGGAGCUGAAUUUUGACUCAAGCUUUCUCUAGUGGGUCAGACUUAUCGGGUGCAGUUCAGAAUAUGUCCACCAGAGGACGGUAGCACCUCAGCCUCUCAAGGCCAAGGCAGGCCCUCUGCUAGUCAAGUAAUAGCUCUUAAUCCUCGUAAUGACCCUCUGAGGUUGUGCGGUUAUGUGAUGGAAGACAGACACUAAUUCCUUCCCUGUUUGACCCCCAAACAGCCCCAUAAAUCCCCUCUCUCUCAAGUCUUUCCCUUUUCCUCCAUCAUGACAUUUUUGGAGGUUCAUUUCCUGUCAAAUUCAUAGCCCUUAAAUCUCUCUUCUUACAGGAAGUCUUCCCGGCUUGUCUCUAUAGACUCUCAUAUCCAUAUAUAUCCAUACAUAGUCUUUAAAAAAUAUAGAUAUAUGACAUUAAAGAGUAUGAUACAAUAAUAUAGAAUAUGAUACGUGAGUUAUAGUACAGAUAAUUUUAUUAUAGUAUAUUUAUAUUAUCACAGGGUACAUAUUUUUAUUAUAUUAUGGAUAGGCAUAUUAUAGUCAUUUAGUCCCAGUGCAUAGGUUUAUGAAUUAAGCAUAAUGUGGUAGAGCUGAGAAGGCCCAUCUAGUUUCUUAGUUCCUCUUUAACCCAUUUUAGAGAUGGGUAAAUUGAAGCCCAGGGAUAUAGGUAAUGGGGCUCAGGUGACUUUGAAGAUCCUUGGCCCGCAUAUUGCCUGCUCACUUGAAUAUAAGCACACUUACGAUUGAACCACCCAAUUCUCUAACUGCCCAUGGCAGCUCGUGGUCUAAGGAUGGGAGGCAGAGGGAAGCCCUCAGUGGCCAGCCCAGGCCCCAUCCAGCCCCUAAGCAGCCCCCAGCAUGACCGGGCCGGAUGGACCAUCUGCACAGCUGGAAUUGAUUAUCCAGCUGUUUAUGGGUCUUUGCCUCUGGUGUUUAUAGUUCCGCCUUUGGGUCUGCUUUGCGUCCCUACUAAUUAGAACAAUAUUCCGGGAGGCAGCAUGGGGUGGGGUGGGGGACCACUAGAUGGGGAGUAAUGGGCUGCGCCUGCACCUCAGCUCUUGCCUUGCUUCGUUCCAACAAGGAUUUCAGGCUUUUUACAAGGACGCAGGAAGGAAAGCAAGAUGGUGUCAGUGGAAGAGGGUGAGAAAACAGGCACACAGAAGUGGGGAGAAAGUGGAGGCAAGAAAAAGUCUAAAGAUGUAGUCCGCUGUGAGUUAGACACUUAAUGUAAGCAAAAUGUUAGGCCGAACCCCUCCGUAUAAGAAAAAAAAAAUUAUCACAGAAGUUAUAGAUGUCCGACGUGAGAACACACAGGCAAAUGAGAAGAAAAUGAAAAUGUCUACGUCCCACCAUCUGGAAUAACCACGGUUCAUAUUUUAGGACUUCUUUCUGUCUGAUAUAUGAAGCUGUUCUCGUAGAAACGACAUUCUGUUUUGAAAACCACUUUUUAAUCGUAAUAAAUUGUCAAUGUUUUUGUGCUAUUAAAUAUUUUUCUACUACA